GCCAAUUUUAUAUUACCUUCACCAUUAAACCCAAUAAUCACCAUUCUCGAAUCAAAACAUCCAAACCCGCACUUUCUUUCUUUCUCUUCUUUUUCCAUCCUUCACCGUCAACGACGGCGCCUCUUUAGUUCAACUCUCAUCUUCGAUCACCGGUCAUCGUGCGAUCCUCCAACCUCCAUUCUCGGUCGUGGGUUCAUUUCAUCAGUUCUUCUUUUCGCCAGUUUAGUUCUCAUCACUGGCAUCGCUUCAACACCAGCUAGGGCUCCUCGCAGGCGAACCAAGACCCGAUCAUUCAGUUGCGGUGUUCCUUCGUCGUUCCUCAUUCUAUUCCAUCGAUCUUGGUACUCUUGGAACUACCACUAUUUCUUUUAUAGUAGUUGUAUCAUAGAUUGGUUGAGUCUUGAAUGGCUCUUGUGAUUCUGUGCUGCAAUUGAGAAAUUCGUAGGUACGUAUUUGUUGCUUAGGUACCUGAACUUACUGCAGUAUGAUAUUAAGUAUCUGUGCAUUGAAUUGCACAUUGGUACCUGUGUUUCUUGCAUAUUUUACAUGUCCCUUGUUAUUUGUAUUAGUAGAGAUGGCAUCAGACUCUGAUUCUGACUCGUAGGAUAGGUCUAUGGAAUUAGUAUAAAGCUACCACAGCUCUUGAAUGUGUUCCCUCCAUUGCUCUAGUUCAUACUCCUCCAAAGGGUUGGACUUUCCCUUCGAAGGGUAACUUUAAAAUGAGUACAGACACAAGUGUUCCUGGAACUGGGAAAGUGGAGCUUGGAAUGGUGAUUCGAGAUCAUCAUGGGCAUGUUAUGAUGGCUGCAUCAAGGGUUGUCUCGAUUAAUAUGAAUCCAGCUAUAGCGGAGAUUCGUGCUAUUGACUAUGGUUGGCAAAUAGCUUUGGACGCAGGUUUGAGACUUGAGAGUGAUGCCCGUUUACUAUAGCUGCUCUCAAUGGUGGUCCUCCUGUUUCUCCUUUCCAAGCAAAUAUUGUUAGGAAAGUGCUCCAACUUUCAAAUAAUCUUGCUUUUAUUAAUUUUAAAUUUGUUUCUAGUUCUUCAAAUGUUCUUGCUCAUUCUUUAGCUAAAGAAGCUCUUAUUUGUGAGAGUCAAGAGAUCAUAUGGAUGGAGGAGUUUUCUAUCCAUCUUACCGGCAAUAUCAGCUUUGAUAUAUUGCUAACUUCAACUAUUUGUCAUUAAUGUUACUCUUGUUUUCUGCUAAAAAAAUAUGAUGUGUGACGUACAUAAAUUGAUAUAAUAAUU
rnacentral:misc_RNA from 1 species